rnacentral:rRNA from 3 species
ACUUAAAUUGAAGAGUUUGAUCAUGGCUCAGAUUGAACGCUGGCGGCAGGCCUAACACAUGCAAGUCGAGCGGUAGCACAGAGAGCUUGCUCUCGGGUGACGAGCGGCGGACGGGUGAGUAAUGUCUGGGAAACUGCCUGAUGGAGGGGGAUAACUACUGGAAACGGUAGCUAAUACCGCAUAAUGUCGCAAGACCAAAGUGGGGGACCUUCGGGCCUCAUGCCAUCAGAUGUGCCCAGAUGGGAUUAGCUAGUAGGUGGGGUAACGGCUCACCUAGGCGACGAUCCCUAGCUGGUCUGAGAGGAUGACCAGCCACACUGGAACUGAGACACGGUCCAGACUCCUACGGGAGGCAGCAGUGGGGAAUAUUGCACAAUGGGCGCAAGCCUGAUGCAGCCAUGCCGCGUGUGUGAAGAAGGCCUUCGGGUUGUAAAGCACUUUCAGCGGGGAGGAAGGCGUUAAGGUUAAUAACCUUGGCGAUUGACGUUACCCGCAGAAGAAGCACCGGCUAACUCCGUGCCAGCAGCCGCGGUAAUACGGAGGGUGCAAGCGUUAAUCGGAAUUACUGGGCGUAAAGCGCACGCAGGCGGUCUGUCAAGUCGGAUGUGAAAUCCCCGGGCUCAACCUGGGAACUGCAUUCGAAACUGGCAGGCUAGAGUCUUGUAGAGGGGGGUAGAAUUCCAGGUGUAGCGGUGAAAUGCGUAGAGAUCUGGAGGAAUACCGGUGGCGAAGGCGGCCCCCUGGACAAAGACUGACGCUCAGGUGCGAAAGCGUGGGGAGCAAACAGGAUUAGAUACCCUGGUAGUCCACGCCGUAAACGAUGUCGAUUUGGAGGUUGUGCCCUUGAGGCGUGGCUUCCGGAGCUAACGCGUUAAAUCGACCGCCUGGGGAGUACGGCCGCAAGGUUAAAACUCAAAUGAAUUGACGGGGGCCCGCACAAGCGGUGGAGCAUGUGGUUUAAUUCGAUGCAACGCGAAGAACCUUACCUGGUCUUGACAUCCACAGAACUUUCCAGAGAUGGAUUGGUGCCUUCGGGAACUGUGAGACAGGUGCUGCAUGGCUGUCGUCAGCUCGUGUUGUGAAAUGUUGGGUUAAGUCCCGCAACGAGCGCAACCCUUAUCCUUUGUUGCCAGCGGUUAGGCCGGGAACUCAAAGGAGACUGCCAGUGAUAAACUGGAGGAAGGUGGGGAUGACGUCAAGUCAUCAUGGCCCUUACGACCAGGGCUACACACGUGCUACAAUGGCAUAUACAAAGAGAAGCGACCUCGCGAGAGCAAGCGGACCUCAUAAAGUAUGUCGUAGUCCGGAUUGGAGUCUGCAACUCGACUCCAUGAAGUCGGAAUCGCUAGUAAUCGUAGAUCAGAAUGCUACGGUGAAUACGUUCCCGGGCCUUGUACACACCGCCCGUCACACCAUGGGAGUGGGUUGCAAAAGAAGUAGGUAGCUUAACCUUCGGGAGGGCGCUUACCACUUUGUGAUUCAUGACUGGGGUGAAGUCGUAACAAGGUAACCGUAGGGGAACCUGCGGUUGGAUCACCUCCUUACCUUAAAGAA